GAUGAAGAACGUAGCGAAAUGCGAUAAGUAAUGUGAAUUGCAGAAUUCCGUGAAUCAUCGAAUCUUUGAACGCACAUUGCGCCCCCUGGCAUUCCGGGGGGCAUGCCUGUCCGAGCGUCAUUUCUGCCCUCCAGCCCGGCUGGGUGUUGGGCGCUGUCCCCCCGGGGACACGCCCCAAAGGCAGUGGCGGCGCCGCGUCGGGUCCUCGAGCGUAUGGGGCUUUGUCACCCGCUCGGGACGGACUCGUCGGCGCUGGUCUUCCUCCAGGCGACCCUUCGGGGCUCGUCUUCCUUCGGUUGACCUCGGAUCAGGUAGGGUUACCCGCUGAACUUAAGCAUAUCAAUAAGCGGAGGAA
rnacentral:misc_RNA from 1 species